UCCACGUCAAAUAGUGCCGCCGUCGCCCCCCCCCUCCGCGGGAGGGCUCCCGGCGCCCCCAGCCCGCGCCCCCAGCCACGCCUGGCCCGGAGAGUGGACCCCAGUGCCCCAGCAGGGCCGGCCGCCUCGCUGGCCCUUCGCAGAAGUUUAGGUCGCCUUCGACACAGAUCCCUCUGCCCCACCCCCUUGAAAAAUUGAUUUGGGAGUUGGGGAACGAAGGCUUUUUCUUUUUUCUUUCUUGCCUUCUUUAUUAUUAAUAUUUUGUAAAGCUCCAGUGGUAAGAGGAGUGGCCCCGAGCGAGGCCAGACUGCGCGUACGGCGGGGAGCGCAGCGGCUCCACCAGGGGACGGCGCCGGCCGGGAUCGCGGCCCGGGGACCCCGACUGUCUGCGGAGACAGCGGGGAAACCAGUUCUGAGGGGCUCCAAAUCCUGUUCCACCUCUAACACUUUCAGAGCUCUGACGUCAUGAAUCUGUGAUCACCCAGUGGUGGAAGAACAGUGAUGGCCAGAAUGCUGACAUAGCCAGCCUGUGAUGACAACAUGCUAGAUUUUGCUUGUUCUGAACACCUGCCUCACCACCGAGGAGACCUAGCUCCUUGCAGAGCCUCGUACUUCAGGUGACACAAUCAUCUAGGUAGAAAAUCCACUGUAAUCUACAAGAAAGCUACUAGAACUAAUAGGUGAGUUUAGUAAGGUCUAAGAUGCUAGACUGAAAUACAAAAAUCAACUUUAUUUAUAUAUUGGCAAUGAACAUUCAUAAAUUCAGUUUUUUUUUUUUUUUUUUGGUAGAAACAGAAUCUUAUUUUAUCGCCCUCGGUAGAGUUCCGUGGUAUCACACAGCUCACAGAAACCUCCAACUCCUGGGCUUAGGCAAGACAACCUCCAACUCCUGGGCUUAUGCGAUUCUCUUGCCUCAGCCUCCCCAGUAGCUGGGACUACAGGUGCCCACCACAACGCCCGGCUCUUUUUUUGUUGCUUUUUGGCCAAGUUCCAAGCUGGUUUGGCUGUGUCUUCUGGGGCUACUCCAUUUCCCACCAGCUCCUAAAGCCCAGGAUCUUAGAGGCUGAUGGAGAGGCCGGUGGGCAGGAGGCAUGAGAUGGGUGAAUGGUCAGGGCGCUCUUUGGGCGGUCAGGGAGGCUCUGCAUCUGCAACCCUGGACUAAUCUCAGGCCCGUCUUGGGUACCUUCUCUCUCUCACACUCUGCUCCCAGCCUCAGCUCUCUGUCCGAAGCUCCCAGUUUUCCAGGCCCUUCACCUGCCUCAGCCCCAGUGAUGUUGGGGUGGGUGGGGUGGGGAGGCUGGCUUCUGACAGGCAGCUGAGCUCUCCAGGCUGCAGGCCUGGUCCCUGCUGCCCUCCCACCCCCAUCCCAGCUGGCUCCAGAAGGGAAGUGGGGGUGGGGGCAACUUCACAGGGAAACUUUUGUUCUUGCCUAGAACAGACAUGGGCUGGGGACCGAGCUUCCCCUUGGCUGCCACGGAGACUGGGGCCACUUGAGUUCAUGUUUAUUUUCACAGCGUGGACUCCAUGGAGAUAAUCGGCCCUGACAGGGAAGCCCUGGGAAGAGGGCUUGGGCCUCUGUGGAGCGCCUACUAUGUGCUAGACCAGAGGCAGGCAGGAGCCAGUGGGAUCCACAAGAUAGUCCUGGGGGUUAGUCACUGAGCCGUAUGCGACUGGGAGGAGGCAGCCAAGGUUCAGGGAGGGAAAGUCGCUUGGCCAAGGUCACAGAGCAGGUUAGUGGGGAGCUGGCCGGGGAGGUCACCUGCUCCCUGUUUUCUUUCUACUGUGUACCUGAGGGAACAGCAGAACAACUCAGUCUCCUGAGGCUUCAUGGAGGAAGCACUUCCCAGAGCUCCACGCAGGCCAGAGUCACUGAAGCAGGAGAGAGUAUGGUGUCUCUGCUAGGACAGAAGCUCUGAUCCAGGCAAGGCCUUGGGCAGUGAUUCUCUGCACCUCAGUCUCCUCGUCUGUGAAAUGGGGUAACAACUUGAAGCCCUGCUGGACCCAGCACACUGAGCGUGACUCACCAGGCCAAGCGAGGGCCGCAGGGCAGGCCGGCACCCGAUGCCUGAGGACCCAAGGAAGCAGCCGAAUCACAAACCAAACAUGGAACCAAUAAAGUCUUUAACCUGACACUGCAAACUUCCCACAGACUUCAGAGAAAUACCUCAACAAGUGCACGACCUUUUAGUUUCUCCCCAAGGCUACCUCCUCCUGCAGCAGGGGCUUUCUAAAAUACAGA